rnacentral:rRNA from 1 species
AUUGAACGCUGGCGGCAUGCUUUACACAUGCAAGUCGAACGGCAGCGCGGGGCAACCUGGCGGCGAGUGGCGAACGGGUGAGUAAUAUAUCGGAACGUACCCAGGAGUGGGGGAGUAACGUAGCGAAAGUUACGCUAAUACCGCAUACGAUCUAUGGAUGAAAGACAGGGGAGUCGCAAGACCUUGUGCUCAUGGAGCGGCCGAUAUCUGAUUAGCUAGUUGGGAGGUAAAGGCUCACCAAGGCGACGAUCAGUAGCUGGUCUGAGAGGACGACCAGCCACACUGGAACUGAGACACGGUCCAGACUCCUACGGGAGGCAGCAGUAAGGAAUAUUGGUCAAUGGACGCAAGUCUGAACCAGCCAUGCCGCGUGGAGGAUUAAGGCCCUCUGGGUUGUAAACUCCUUUUAUCU